ensembl:lncRNA
AAAGAGAUAAAAAUGCAGAACAUGGAAGUUGUAUUUAAACUGUUCUUGAUGUUGCUCGGAGUCUCUCAUGGUGUGGAAACUCCCUGUUAUGGCAGACAGGAUAGAGCUCAGUGUUUUGGAGUUUUGGGAGGAAGUAUAGACAUACAGCUGAUGAACGGCACCUCAGAAAUACAUAAAUACAAAUAUUUAAAGAAUUCAUUAGUACUACUAUAUGUGUCAGACAAACAAGUUCAGGCUAAUACCAUAGGACACAGAUCUCUCAUUUUCCACGUUAAUGGAACAUUUAGGAUCAACAACUUGAGCAGCAAUGACAGUGGUAUUUAUACCCUUCAAACCUUUGAUGCAGCUGCAAGAUCAACAGGCGAGUGGACUUUACAGUUGUUUAUUCAAGCUCCUGUGUCCUCUGUCCUGCUGGUCUCUGAGUGUCUGUCCCAGGGAGAGAGGAGGGUGUCCUGCUCCUCUGAGGGAGGGGACAGUCCUCAGUACAGCUGGACUCUGGAUGGACGCACACUGACAGAUGCUGAGCUCCUUUCUGUAAAUAAUGAGACUAACAUCAUCACUCUGAAACAGCACGUCUCAGGACGUCUGGUCUGCUCAGUCAGGAAUUACAUCAGUAAUGUCUCCAAAGAGGAGAGAAUAUCUAUCUGUGGCUUCAUUUUCAUUAACUGCACCUUAGUCAAUGGGACACAGAUAUCAGGGUGGGUGCAUGAAGCCAAUAAAAUCCUGUGUAUUAAACCAACAACACAACUAACACGAGACCCUAAAAUGAUCACGCAAACUGCUGUGACUGAAGGGACUGACAGAGUGCCAAUUGAAAACCCGAAUGAUAUCCUCAGUCCAGCUUUCAGCAGUGCUCAGCUGUGGUACAUUAGUAAGUGGAAAAUUAAUUCUACUACAGUAGAUCUGUUAAUGUUCUUUUCGAAUUUGUUCUUUCUUAAUAAAAAAGUGUUUUCUGAAUGGUUUGGUUUUGUGUCCUGUUAAAACAGGUAUUUUGUCACUGAUCAGUGCUGUUCUCUUAGCGUUCCUAAUUUUAUUAGUUGUGGGUGUAGCAGUCAUCUGGGCUCAGAGAAAAAAGCAAAACAACAAACCUACAAAACAAAAAGAUGAAGAAGAUGAUGAGGAAGUAACCUACGCUGAUGUCAGGGUGAUGAAACACCGGGAGAAGGAAAUGGAGCAAAAAUCGGAGGUGGAGGUGGAGUAUGGCCAAGUCAAGUUUUCAAAGCGACCUCUGUACACUGAACCUACAGAAGAUGACUGUUUGUAUGCCAAUGUUCAAAAAUCAGAUGAUUUGAGUGAUCAUUGCUUUUAUACAUACUGCACAACAGAGUGAGACGGUGAUGUCAAGAUGCUUCAGGUGAUUCAGAAAAAUACAAACCAUCAAAGCUCAUAUUGAUUUAUGGAUCUUCUUUACUUUCACUGCACUUCUCUAUCACAACAGAACAUCAGUACAUCUAUUGGAGCUUAUAUUUGUUUUGGUAAAUGGACUGGUUCUUAUAUAGCGCUUUUCUACUCAUCUGAGCACUCAAAGCGCUUUACACAACUUGUGCAUUCACCCAUUCACACAAAGUGCUUCAUAGCUAACAUUCACAUACUUCGAUGGAUGCAUCUGAGAGCAAUUUGGGGUUAGUAUCUUGCCCAAGGAUAUUUGGCAUGUAGAUAGGGGAAGCCAGGAAUCGAACCACCAACCUUCCGAUCAGUGGAUGACCUGCUCUACCACCUCUGCUACAGCCACCUCGUUUAUUUUAUCACCAAAAUAUUUGUGUCCCACUUGUGAAUGACUAUUCUGCCGCUUGGUGUUCCCACAGUACAAUCAUCCUGUACCCUGUGCUGAGAGAAACACACCCAGAUGUCUUUUGAUCUGAUUUCUUUGUAGUCGUUAAUGAAAAAGUGCAAAAUACACAUAUCUGGUAUUGUGUGAGAUAUAUCAUAUAUAUAUUUUUUUUUUUCAAAAAGUGUUUAAUUUAAAUGUUAAACUUGACUGAUGAUUUUCUAACUGAAUAAAAGAUUUUACAUUAAUA